rnacentral:lncRNA from 1 species
AUCCCUUUUUUUACGCCCUAUUUAUUAUAUGAGAAAAGGUUUCUCAUGAAAUCACUCCAUGCACAAUUUAAGCCACGCCUCAUGCCUUUAGUGGAUAAGGGAUGAGUUGGUGUCCAUUUGAAUUCAAAAAUUGAUUUGAAUUCAAAUGUGCAAUUACUCAUCUUUAUCCUUUCUUUUGGAUAAGAUGUUUGACGUUGUUAUAAAAGGAGGAGAAGAGUAGGGCGUGCAA